GAAGUUGUAGCUCAGUGGUAGAACACUUGCCUAGCAUGUAUGAGGCCCUGGGUUUAACCCUCAGCACUACA
rnacentral:tRNA from 1 species